AUGAAGACCGCAGCUAAAUGCGCGUCAGAAUGUGAACUGCAGGACACAUUAACACCGACACGUUGAACGCAUAUUGCACGUCGUACUACAGUACGAUGUACACAUUUUUGAGUGCCUAUA
rnacentral:rRNA from 1 species